UUUAUUCAAAUUCAAACUUAAAAUUACAAUUUAAAUUCUAAUUUGAAUCCAUAAAUUUAAUUUAAGUUUUAAAUAAAAUUUGAAUAAAACUUUAUAUAAAUUAAAAGUUAAUUUAAAUUCAAAUUUAUAAGUUAGAUUUGAAAUACUUGAUUAAAUUUUAAUUUUUAAUUCAAGUUCAUAUUAAAAUUUAAAAUCAUAUAUUUAAUUUCUAAAUUUAAACUUAUAUUUUAAUUAAAAAAGUUGAAAAAAUAAAUUUAAUUCGAAUAAAUAUCCAUUCCUUCCGAAUUCACCUUCUAAUCCGGCU
rnacentral:lncRNA from 1 species